GAUCUAGCAUAUCAAUAAGCGGAGGAAAAGAAACUAACAAGGAUCCCCUAGUAACUGCGAGUGAAGCGGGAAAAGCUCAAAUUUAAAAUCUGGCGGUCUCUGGCCGUCCGAGUUGUAAUCUAGAGAAGUAAUGCCCGUGCUGGACCGUGUAUAAGUCUCCUGGGAUGGGGCGUCAUAGAGGGUGAGAAUCCCGUCUUUGACACGGACUACCAGUGCAUUGUGGUAUGCUCUCAAAGAGUCGAGUUGUUUGGGAAUGCAGCUCAAAAUGGGUGGUAAAUUCCAUCUAAAGCUAAAUAUUGGCGAGAGACCGAUAGCGAACAAGUACCGUGAGGGAAAGAUGAAAAGAACUUUGGAAAGAGAGUUAAACAGUACGUGAAAUUGCUGAAAGGGAAACGCUUGAAGUCAGUCGCGUUGGCCGGGGAUCAGCCUUGCUUUUGCAUGGUGUACUUUCUGGUUGACGGGUCAGCAUCAAUUUUGACCGCUGGAAAAAGACCUGGGGAAUGUGGCAGCUUCGGCUGUGUUAUAGCCCCUAGUCGCAUACAGUGGUUGGGAUUGAGGAACUCAGCACGCCGCAAGGCCGGGUUUCGACCACGUUCGUGCUUAGGAUGCUGGCAUAAUGGCUUUAAGCGACCCGUCUUGAAACACGGACCAAGGAGUCUAACAUGCCUGCGAGUAUUUGGGUGGAAAACCCAAGUGCGUAAUGAAAGUGAAAGUUGAGAUCCCUGUCGUGGGGAGCAUCGACGCCCGGACCAGAACUUUUGGGACGGAUCCGCGGUGGAGCAUGUAUGUUGGGACCCGAAAGAUGGUGAACUAUGCCUGAAUAGGGUGAAGCCAGAGGAAACUCUGGUGGAGGCUCGUAGCGAUUCUGACGUGCAAAUCGAUCGUCAAAUUUGGGUAUAGGGGCGAAAGACUAAUCGAACCAUCUAGUAGCUGGGUCCUGCCGAAGUUUCCCCUCAGAAA
rnacentral:rRNA from 1 species